rnacentral:lncRNA from 1 species
GCUGGUUUACUUUUCUAUUUUUUUCAUUGUCCGGAAAACUAGUUUACAAAAUUUUAAACGAUACAAGUAAACUUGGCACUUCAUUGUCCUUUCUCUCUGGUUAAUGAUUUACCAUCCACAUAGGGAGAUUCUGGUGGAGCAGCACUCCAGAGACCCCACAAUAUCAGUAGGUGGAUACAAAGAAGCAGGAAAGAUGAAUAGUUGUUAGAGGGAUAGACGUUCCAGCAAAACUCCACGCCUAUAAACAAAAUUAAGCUGCAACAAAAGGACAAUUAACACUGAAAAUAUGAUAUGGAACAUUCAUAUGCAUAACUACUGCGAAUAAGAAUGAUCAAUUAACUAACCGUAGCAAUGUAGGAAAAGAAGUUUUCCAUAAUAGAUAUGGUAAGGUGUAGAAAUACUUGCACAGGAGAACACAAUAUAACAUUAAUUGCAAUUCUUCUCGAAAAAUAAAUUAAAAAGGUCUCUAUAGAAGAUAACAUAAGAACCCAGCACCAUUUUUUGGUGAGUAAGAGACAAAAUCAAAAUCAUAUGGUCAUAACUAAAAGAGUAUAAAUAAUUAGAUAUGGAUGAACGACAACAACAUGCUAUAUUAAAUUUCUAACUAGGAGGUAAGGCAAUUGUUGCCUCGCAAAGAUAACCUGCAGAUGGUACUCUCAUCUUAAAAUGGAAGCCUCAGGGGAGAGACGGCUGCAUGCCAUUACUUGAUAGCAUUUUACCCAACAUAACAAUUUAUUUUAUGCAGGAUCUUUGGGGCAGAAACUCUACAAAGAAAUUAGGUAGUAGUAUCUCCACUUCACUCUAAAACUUCUUCAAAAAAUAUACUAAACCAAAAUCUAAACUUUAUCAUGGAUAUAUUCUUAUACCAGCUCACCUUACAACUCGAAUAGGAUAGCCAUUUUGGCAACUGACACGUAAAGCAUUAUUCUGUUUCUCAAACU